UAAUGUCUGGGAAACUGCCUGAUGGAGGGGGGAUAACUACUGGGAAACGGUAGCUAAUACCGCAUAACGUCGCAAGACCAAAGAGGGGGACCUUCGGGCCUCUUGCCAUCAGAUGUGCCCAGAUGGGAUUAGCUAGUAGGUGGGGUAACGGCUCACCUAGGCGACGAUCCCUAGCUGGUCUGAGAGGAUGACCAGCCACACUGGAACUGAGACACGGUCCAGACUCCUACGGGAGGCAGCAGUGGGGAAUAUUGCACAAUGGGCGCAAGCCUGAUGCAGCC
rnacentral:rRNA from 1 species